UGGUACCCGUACUUCAAAAUCGAACAGAGCAAAUAUUUUGUACAGAUUACCAAUAAAAAAAAGUUCGGGUGGAAACGUUGAUCCUUAAUUUUCUGAAACAAUUGUAAAUUUAACGAAUAUAUCUAGAAAAUCUUUCGUUUUGAGAAAUGUUUUCUGUUGAAAAUGAUUCUGAUAUGGUUUUGUGUCCUUAUAAUAAAGCACAUCAAUUGUUGCGCAGACGGUUGCAAUCUCAUCUAAUCAAGUGUCGUCAAAAUUAUCCCCAACUUGAGUUACAAAAAUGUCCAUUUAAUGCUACCCAUCACGUACCGGAGCCCGAAUUUGUACUUCAUGUUACUAAUUGCCCGGAUCGAAAACUUAUAACCCAAUAUAAAUACAAUACAGUGGAGGUAAAGGAAGAAGAACCUGUUCGACAUGCGCCAGUUGAAUGCGAAGAAAAUUGGGAUGAUACAGAAGUUGAUGACUACAACCCACAAAAAUAUAUAGAUCAGAAAAAUGUACUUCAGAUGCCACUUGGAGUUCCUCCAGCACAGCGCAAGGCGUUCAUAAAAAGGGAACGAAAACGACUCGGUGAUGAAGAAAGUUAUACGGACAGUGAUGAAGAUGAAGAAGUGGUUAAAAAAGAAUUGUCAGCAGAAGAAGAUGAAACGGAAGCUAAAACAGAGACUCUAAUACAUAAAAUUUCUCUGUCUGCACCUCGCCAAAACCAGGAAAAAUAUGAACCUAAAUCUAGAUCUCGAAGUCGGUCGCCUAUUGCAUCAGCUUACUACAGACGUGUUCAUGGUCGUGACUCCCAAUCGCCUCCACGACCUCCUCCUUUUAGACCCCAUUCCAGUCGCGAACGCUCACCUGUUUUUAAUAACAAAAGAUCUGCAGCCUAUGAAAUAGACGAUGAUCCAUAUUAUAACAGUAGCAGUGGAUCCUUUAAUCGAAAUGGUGUUCAUAAUAGCAGCGAGGAUAAUCACCGUUCGCAGUACGAGGCAGAGUUAUAUAUGCAAGAUGAAUAUCGCAGUCCUCCUCUUGUUGCUUAUCCCACUCGCACUCCUCCUCUUGUUGCUUAUCCCACUCGCACUCCAUCGUAUGGACGCGGCGCUAAUCGAGGAUACCCUCAUAAUCGCAGAAACAAUUCUCGUUUUAGUGACAUUCGUCAUUAGUCUUACGGAUUUGAAUUUUAAUUAAAUUUGUAUAAUCCUAAGAUGUUUUUAUAUAAAGGCAAAUGGUUUGUAUUAUUUAUUGACUUUAUUAUUGUCAAAUUAAUCAUCGUCGUCUUUCUUAUACUGUGGUUUUAAUCUACUGUGUCAUAUAUUUGUAUGUAACAUCACAAGGAUGUAUUUAAAUUUAUUAUGGUGCAAAUAAAAGUACGUACUUAAUUUUA